rnacentral:rRNA from 1 species
AUUGAACGCUGGCGGCAGGCCUAACACAUGCAAGUCGAACGAGUGGCGGACGGGUGAGUAAUGUCUGGGAAACUGCCUGAUGGAGGGGGAUAACUACUGGAAACGGUAGCUAAUACCGCAUACCAUCAGAUGUGCCCAGAUGGGAUUAGCUAGUUGGUGGGGUAACGGCUCACCAAGGCGACGAUCCCUAGCUGGUCUGAGAGGAUGACAAGCAACACUGGGACUGAGACAGGGACCAGACUCCUACGGGAGGCAGAAGGGGGGAAUAUGGCAAAAGGGGCGCAAGCCUGAUGCAGCAAUGCCGCGGGUAUGAAGAAGGCCUUCGGUUUGUAAAGUACUUUCGGCGGGGAGGCGUUACCCAAAAAGAAAGCACCGGCUAACUCCGUGCCAGCAGCCGCGGUAAUAC